AACGAGAAAGACGUGCACCACGAUUAAGUCGCAAAACGAGUAAAAACCUGUUGACUGACCGUGUCUUCACAUGAUCUGUGUGCUAGGGAAUGAGUACAGACAAGAGUGAACAAUGUCCUCGGAGGGCAGGGUAGUCGAUAACAAUGACGACGAUGUGCACGACAAGCCUGCAGGUUGCUGCAGCAGUAGUCACGUGACUAACACAGCUGAGACGUGUUUACCCGGCAGCCACCUCCUGUUGUGAGGUCAGGAGCAAACAAAGGACAAGUUAGUAAAGUUUUUGUGUGACGGGCCGUUAAGCAGCGUGGGGUGACGUCAGUAACAGCUUGCUUGGAGAAGUUGUUGUCGUAGUACCUGGCGUAUGAUCGAUCAGUGGCGAGCAAGAACUACCGCUAGAUGGCGCUUGCUUUCGUUGAUUUAACAGUUGGGGCACGUGACAAAUACUGUACACAUGCAUAUCACAGCUACAAACUAUUUAAUAAUUAUCACUAGCGACUGGUGCAUUUGAAACCUGCCAUAUUGGGCAAUCAUUUAUUAUUGGCAGAAUUUCAAACGUCCUGACUAAACAUGAAUAUGACUACUUCUAAAACAUCUAACCGUCAGAAGACCUUUCAAGAAAGUGGACAAUGGCAGAAUAUGGCGAUGAAAUGAAAAUAACAACCUGACUAUUGUCGUACAUGUAUUUUGGGUCAUAACUGAUACACAUGACGCAUGAAAUGCCGUAAGAAUGCAUUUUUAAAAAACUUUUGCAGAGUGAUAAGGCCUUACCAUGGGCUGCCUAUUUGUUAAAUGCAUGCGAAAAGCGAUAAAAAUGUUUCUUUAGCUAACCCCUGAACUAGUAAAUGCCCACAAGCCAGGACUGAACACUUGUGGCCCAUCUCCCGGCCCCGUAGACUGUGACUAUUAACAGUUAUAUCAAAAACAAUUUAUUAAUACUUAUUUAUAUAUUUAGAAAAUACAUGAAAAAUUCAGUAUACAAAAAAAAAAAAAAAAAAAAAAAAAAAAAAAAAAAAAA